rnacentral:rRNA from 1 species
UAGGGAAUAUUGCAAAAUGGGCGAAAGCCCGAUGCAGCAACGCCGCGUGCGCGAUGAAGGCCUUCGGGUCGUAAAGCGCUUUUUAGAGGGAUGAGGAAGGACAGUACCUCUAGAAUAAGUCUCGGCUAACUACGUGCCAGCAGCCGCGGUAAAACGUAGGAGGCAAGCGUUAUUCGGAUUUACUGGGCGUAAAGCGCGUGCAGGCGGUUUGGUAAGUUGGAUGUGAAAGCUCCUGGCUCAACUGGGAGAGGUCGUUCAAUACUACCAGACUAGAGGGCGGUAGAGGAAGGCGGAAUUCCGGGUGUAGUGGUGAAAUGCGUAGAUGGCCGGAGGAACACCAGUGGCGAAAGCGGCCUUCUGGACCGAUCCUGACGCUCAGACGCGGAAGCUAGGGUAGCAAACGG